AUUGAACGCUGGCGGCAGGCCUAACACAUGCAAGUCGAGCGGAGCGGCGGAGGGGGAAGUGAUACUUAGGAAUCUGCCUGCUAGUGGGGGAUAACGUCCGGAAACGGGCGCUAAUACCGCAUACUCUCCGUCUAGCCUAGGUCGCAUUAGCUAGUGGGUGGGUUAACGGCCUAACAAGGCGACGGUCCGUAACUGGGCUGAGAGGAUGAUCAGUCACACUGGAACUGAGACACGGUCCAGAAUCCUACGGGAGGCAGCAGUGGGGAAUAUUGGACAAUGGGCGAAAGCCUGAGACAGCCAUUCCGCGUGUGUGAAGAAGGUCUUCGGAUGGUAAAGCACGUUAAGUGGGGAGGCGUUACCAACAGAAUAAGCACCGGCUAACUUCGUGCCAGCAGUCGCGGUAAUAC
rnacentral:rRNA from 1 species